rnacentral:rRNA from 1 species
UAGGGAAUCUUCCGCAAUGGACGCAAGUCUGACGGAGCAACGCCGCGUGAGUGAAGAAGGAUUUCGGUUCGUAAAACUCUGUUGUUAGAGAAGAACAGCGCAUAGAGUAACUGUUAUGCGUGUGACGGUAUCUAACCAGAAAGCCACGGCUAACUACGUGCCAGCAGCCGCGGUAAUACGUAGGUGGCAAGCGUUGUCCGGAUUUAUUGGGCGUAAAGCGAGCGCAGGCGGUCAAUUAAGUCAGAUGUGAAAGCCCCCGGCUCAACCGGGGAGGGUCAUUUGAAACUGGUUGGCUUGAGUGCGGAAGAGGGGAGUGGAAUUCCACGUGUAGCGGUGAAAUGCGUAGAUAUAUGGAGGAACACCAGUGGCGAAGGCGACUCUCUGGUCUGUAACUGACGCUGAGGCUCGAAAGCGUGGGUAGCAAACAGG